CCUGCCAGGGACACCACACUGGGCACACACCACUUCGGAUGCAGGACCCCAUCCUCACCGGCUGUGGCAGGAGACUGAUACCCACCUGCACUGAUGUCCACCUGCAUGGAUGCCCACCUACACAAAUGCCCACCUGCACAGAUGCCCAUCUGCACUGAUGUCCACCUGCACUGAUGUCCACCUGCACAGAUGCCCACCUGCACAGAUGCCCACCUGCACUGAUGUCCACCUACACAAAUGCCCACCUGCACUGAUGUCCACCUGGGUCCACAUGCACAGAUGCCCACCUGCACAGAUGCUCACCUGCACAGAUGCCCACCUGUACCACCUGCACGGAUGCCCACCUGCACAAUUAUCCAUCUGAACAGCCCUCUGGUGCCCUCUUGUUGCUCACACAUGUUCAAAUCCUCCCAGUCCUACAGUCGAUUGUUCCUAGUGGGGUCAUUCUGGGCAUGUUAUUCUAAAACUUGUUUUUUCCUGUCUCCACAUCAAAGGAGAAAGGCCUAGCUUGUUUCUUUGCUAUAGAGCAGGGCCUGAGUGAGGUCAGGACCACAGAGCAGACCCUAUGAGGGAUGGUCAGGACACAGAGCAGGACCCCCUUAGGGUCUGGAAGAGGGUUCCCCAAGCUCCUGUUCAACCUGAGUGAGAGGCUCAGGCUGCCCCCCUCCACACUUCACAGAAUAAUGGGCCAUUGACUCAGAGCCACCCAUGCCAUGACCCACACUAACAGCAGCUCAGUUCCAGCCCUCCAGCAGGCAGGCCCUGGGAACACUAGGAACCUGAGACCCUGUCCCUUCCUGACAGCGGGACGUGGUGACAUGAGGGGAGACAGAGUGCCUCCAUUCUGCUCAUGAAAGUCACAGAGGGCACUGGGGACCCCAGGCCCCUGACAAUACCAGCACCCCACACAGUGCCUUUCUGGGCACACCCCACCAACACGGCCUGCCCAAGGAAUCAGGAGCUUGUGUAGCGAAGUCAGCUGGGGGUGGCAGAGCCCCAGGGAACAAUCAUGGGUCGCUGGCAGAUGAGCCAGGGGCCCACACAGCACAGGCCCUCACCCCUGCAGCUGGGGGAGCCCUCCUUGGGAGUGGGCCCAGGAUCCGGGCAAAAUGACACAGACCGGAUCCAGGAGCAGACCGAGCAAGAGUGGCAAGCGUUCUCCAGGUUAAGGGAACAUUUUCACCAACUGAGAGAUGAGCUGGCCUCCAGACCCGAGGGUUCCACGUCCCUGGAGGCAACCAACCCAGACGCAAACUAUUUGAAAAAGCAAAAAGGAAAAAAAGAAGAAUACAGCAAUAAAAGAGAACACAAAUCAGAAAUACAGUAUAGCUAUUGACAGAGCA